rnacentral:rRNA from 1 species
AGUGAACGCUGGCGGUAGGCCUAACACAUGCAAGUCGAACGGCAGCACAGUAAGAGCUUGCUCUUACGGGUGGCGAGUGGCGGACGGGUGAGGAAUACAUCGGAAUCUACUUUUUCGUGGGGGAUAACGUAGGGAAACUUACGCUAAUAUCGCAUACGACCUACGGGUGAAAGCAGGGGAUCUUCGGACCUUGCGCGAUUGAAUGAGCCGAUGUCGGAUUAGCUAGUUGGCGGGGUAAAGGCCCACCAAGGCGACGAUCCGUAGCUGGUCUGAGAGGAUGAUCAGCCACACUGGAACUGAGACACGGUCCAGACUCCUACGGGAGGCAGCAGUGGGGAAUAUUGGACAAUGGGCGCAAGCCUGAUCCAGCCAUACCGCGUGGGUGAAGAAGGCCUUCGGGUUGUAAAGCCCUUUUGUUGGGAAAGAAAAGCGGCAGGUUAAUACCCCGCUGUUCUGACGGUACCCAAAGAAUAAGCACCGGCUAACUUCGUG